rnacentral:lncRNA from 1 species
UCAUGAAGGUUUUUAACGAGGUAAUAUCAAACACAAGAUCAUAUAUCAUACUUUCAGUUUUCCCCACCGGGUUUUUUAGGAAAGUAUAUAUGACAUAUUUAUUGUUCUCUUGAUUCUAUGAGUUUUCUCGUAUUGAGUUAAAGGAGACAAUAACCAUAUAUGUUGCGACAUUUUCUCCUUAUUUUCCCACUGGGUUUCGAAGGAGUUUUGGCAACAUAUUAAACAGUAUACUCCUCAUAUUUUCCCACAGGGUUUUUGGAGGAGCCUCUAAUCAAGAUGAUAAUUCUGGAUGGACAAGGAUAGGUUAGGGGGAGUGUUAGAGUUUAAUUAACAUGUGUUAAUUAUGGGGUAAUCUCCCC